rnacentral:rRNA from 1 species
UACGUAGGUGGCGAGCGUUGUCCGGAUUUACUGGGCGUAAAGAGCGCGCAGGCGGUCGUUCAAGUCGCGUGUGAAAGCCCCCGGCUCAACUGGGGAGGGUCACGCGAUACUGAUCGACUCGAAGGCAGGAGAGGGUAGUGGAAUUCCCGGUGUAGUGGUGAAAUGCGUAGAUAUCUGGAGGAAUACCGGUGGCGAAGGCGGCAUCCUGGACCGGCAUUGACGCUGAGGAGCGAAAGCCAGGGGAGCAAACGGG